CCUACGGGAGGCUGCAGUGGGGAAUUUUGGACAAUGGGCGCAAGCCUGAUCCAGCCAUUCCGCGUGAGUGAAGAAGGCCUUCGGGUUGUAAAGCUCUUUCGCAAGGGAAGAAAACUUAUCCUCUAACAUCGGAUGAGGUUGACGGUACCUUUAUAAGAAGCACCGGCUAACUACGUGCCAGCAGCCGCGGUAAUACGUAGGGUGCGAGCGUCAAACGGCGUUACUAGGCGUAUAUCGAACGCAGACGUGUAAUCCCCGAGCUCAACUUGGGAACUGCGUUUGAAACUACAAGACUAGAAUAGGUCAGAGGGGGGUAGAAUUCCACGUGUAGCAGUGAAAUGCGUAGAGAUGUGGAGGAAUAUCAAUGGCGAAGGCAGCCCCCUGGGAUCAUAUUGACGCUCAUGCACGAAAGCGUGGGGAGCAAACAGGAUUAGAUACCCCUGUAGUC
rnacentral:rRNA from 1 species